AGAAACAAUGUGAUACCAAGACCUCGUCUCUCUCUCUCUGACCUCUGUUUUCUGCGCCCCUUAUCCUCUCUCUCUCUCUCUCUCUCUCUCUCAAUGGCUUCUUCGACAGGAGCUCUCAUCAAGGUUCUGUCAAUGGCCGAAUGCUGUAUAACCUCUGUACCAACGCUCUUCACUAACAAAACCUCACACCCUCUGCCUUCAAAACCUAUCAAACUCCACCUUUCCUGUUCUCCAUCUUCUUCGUGGGUUUCUCUCAAACAAAACAUUGCACCUUCAUCUCGCCUGGUCCCCCUUGUUGCCCAGACCUCGGAUUGGGCUCAAGAAGAAGAAGAUGGACCGAACCCAGUUGAUGGGUUUAAAGAAGAUGAGGAAGAGCAGAAGAAACCAGUUGACGGGUUUAACUGGGGCGAAGAGAUGGCGGAGAAUACACAGGCCAUUGCCGCUACCUCUUGGGAAGGUGAGAGUGAAGGAGGAGAAGCAGAGUCCUUUCCCGAGCCCCCUGAGGAGGCCAAGCUUUUUAUUGGGAACUUGCCUUAUGACAUUGACAGUGAGAAACUGGCUCAGCUUUUUGAUCAAGCUGGUGUUGUUGAGAUUGCCGAGGUAAUUUACAAUAGGGAAACGGAUCAAAGUCGAGGUUUUGGAUUUGUGACAAUGAGUAGCGUUGAGGAAGCUGAGAAGGCCGUUGAUACCUUCCACCGCUAUGAACUAAACGGGAGACUUUUGACUGUAAAUAAGGCUUCCCCAAGAGGGUCACGCCUAGAAAGAGCCCCUAGAACUUUUGAGCCUUCUUUCAAAAUUUACGUUGGUAACCUGCCAUGGCAAGUGGAUAAUGCUCGGCUAGAGCAGGUCUUCAGUGAACAUGGUAAGGUGGUGGAUGCAAGGGUGAUUUAUGAUCGGGAGACAGGGCGUUCUCGUGGAUUUGGCUUUGUAACAAUGUCUAGCGAGGCAGAGCUGAAUGAUGCUAUUGCUGCUCUUGAUGGACAGGCUUAAGAAGAUGAUGUUUGGACUCCCAUCAAUCCUCAUGAUCCCCACUGGACCUCUAAGAAUUUGGAUGGAAGGGCAAUCAGGGUAAACAUGGCUGAGGAUCGACCCAGGCGCCCAUUUUGAUUUCAGAUGAUGCCUCCUUUGUUGGUGAAUUGCAUUCUUCCUUCCUUCAAGGCUGGUAGAUUCAUUAUGAUAAGAGAAACCUCGCUGUUUCCAUCUUGCAGUCUUUGCUGUCCCUUUCAUUCUUUGUUUCUUUCUAAUGAUUUUUCCUAGUGACGGGGACGGCUUGUUAGAAGCACCUUUGUUUGUUUCUUUCCCUUUAAUCCCUUCCUUUAAAUUAGUACAAUGCCAAUGCGAUCAACACUUCUUUCCAACUUGAGAUCCAAUGUACCGCACAUAUUGAAAGCAUUGAACUUCUGGUCAUUUGGUGGCCGGCCAUUCAAGGACACAAUGGGUUCUAAAAUAGCCCAUUUUUUA